rnacentral:rRNA from 1 species
UACGAAGGGGGCUAGCGUUGCUCGGAAUUACUGGGCGUAAAGGGCGCGUAGGCGGAUAUCUAAGUUGGGGGUGAAAUCCCGGGGCUCAACCUCGGAAUUGCCUUCAAAACUGGAUAUCUUGAGUUCGGGAGAGGUGAGUGGAACUCCGAGUGUAGAGGUGAAAUUCGUAGAUAUUCGGAAGAACACCAGUGGCGAAGGCGACUCACUGGCCCGAUACUGACGCUGAGGCGCGAAAGCGUGGGGAGCAAAACAGG